GNAAUUAUUGGGCGUAAAGAGCUCGUAGGUUGUUUGUCGCGUCGAUUGUGAAAAUCUGAGGCUCAACCUCAGACCUGCAGUCGAUACGGGCAAACUAGAGUGUGGUAGGGGAGACUGGAAUUCCUGGUGUAGCGGUGGAAUGCGCAGAUAUCAGGAGGAACACCAAUGGCGAAGGCAGGUCUCUGGGCCAUAACUGACACUGAGGAGCGAAAGUGCGGGGAGCGAACAGGAUUAGAUACCCUGGUAGUCCGCACCGUAAACGGUGGGCACUAGUUGUGGGAACCUUCCACGGUUUCCGCGACGCAGCAAACGCAUUAAGUGCCCCGCCUGGGGAGUACGAUCGCAAGAUUAAAACUCAAAGGAAUUGACGGGGCCCCGCACAAGCAGCGGAGCAUGCGGCUUAAUUCGACGCAACGCGAAGAACCUUACCAAGGCUUGACAUAUAGCGAAAAGUGGCAGAGAUGUCAUGUCCGCAAGGGCGCUAUACAGGUGGUGCAUGGUUGUCGUCAGCUCGUGUCGUGAGAUGUUGGGUUAAGUCCCGCAACGAGCGCAACCCUCGUUCUGUGUUACCAGCAUUCAGUUGGGGACUCACAGGAGACUGCCGGGGUCAACUCGGAGGAAGGUGGGGAUGACGUCAAAUCAUCAUGCCCCUUAUGUCUUGGGCUGCACGCAUGCUACAAUGGCCGGUACAAAGUGCUGCGAGAUCGUAAGAUUGAGCGAAUCACAUAAAGCCGGUCUCAGUUCGGAUUGAGGUCUGCAACUCGACCUCAUGAAGUCGGAGUUGCUAGUAAUCGUAGAUCAGCAACGCUACGGUGAAUACGUUCCCGGGGCUUGUACACACCGCCCGUCACGUCACGAAAGUCGGUAACACCCAAAGUUAGUGGCCCAACCGCAAGGAGGGAGCUACCUAAGGUGGGAUCGGUGAUUGGGACG
rnacentral:rRNA from 1 species